rnacentral:misc_RNA from 1 species
GAAUGGAAUACAGAUUUACUCGACUGUUGUUCGGAGCCAUCUUUGUGUAUGAGGACUUUCUUUUGCCCUUGUGGAACCUUUUCAAAGAUUGCUUCAGUGGCGAGAAACCGAAACAUUUCUUCAGGAGAAGCUUGCAAUGACCUUAUGGCAUAUUCACUGAUACUAUCGUGUUGCUGUUACACCUGCUGCGUGAGGAGGAAACUUCGUAAGAUGUUAAACAUCACGGGAGGGUUUUGCGACGAUUUUCUGUCGCAUUU